rfam:Flavobacteriaceae bacterium CRH Contig31, whole genome shotgun sequence.
GUCUAGCCCAGAUUGCAGUGGAAAGCCCGGAGUAAAAAAAGCAAAAGUUUCUUGUUCUAAAAAAGCGACCAACGGAAGCUCUUUUUAGAACAUUAGAAACUUUGCUUUUUUUACGAGGACUUGUAACGGAAAGCUGGAAUUGCU